rnacentral:rRNA from 1 species
GUGCCAGCCGCCGCGGUAAUACCGGCAGCUCGAGUGAUGGCCAAUCUUAUUGGGCCUAAAGCGUCCGUAGCUGGCCGCGCAAGUCCGUCGGGAAAUCCAUCAGCCCAACUGAUGGGCGUCCGGCGGAAACUGCACGGCUUGGGACCGGAAGGCUCGAGAGGUACGUCCGGGGUAGGGGUGAAAUCCCGUAAUCCCGAACGGACCACCGAUGGCGAAAGCAUCUCGAGAAAACGGAUCCGACAGUGAGGGACGAAAGCUAGGGUCUCGAACCGGAUUAGAAACCCUAGAUCC